CUUUUAGAAGGGAAUGAAGUUCUCCCUUAGUGAUCAUACUAGAACCGCUUAUAAAGCUGAUGACUUCUGCGAAUAA
rfam:Dorea longicatena CAG:42 genomic scaffold, scf181